rnacentral:rRNA from 1 species
UAGGGAAUCUUCCACAAUGGACGCAAGUCUGAUGGAGCAACGCCGCGUGAGUGAAGAAGGUUUUCGGAUCGUAAAGCUCUGUUGUUGGUGAAGAAGGAUAGAGGUAGUAACUGGCCUUUAUUUGACGGUAAUCAACCAGAAAGUCACGGCUAACUACGUGCCAGCAGCCGCGGUAAUACGUAGGUGGCAAGCGUUGUCCGGAUUUAUUGGGCGUAAAGCGAGUGCAGGCGGUUCAAUAAGUCUGAUGUGAAAGCCUUCGGCUCAACCGGAGAAUUGCAUCAGAAACUGUUGAACUUGAGUGCAGAAGAGGAGAGUGGAACUCCAUGUGUAGCGGUGGAAUGCGUAGAUGUAUGGAAGAACACCAGUGGCGAAGGCGGCUCUCUGGACUGUAACUGACGCUGAGGCUCGAAAGCAUGGGUAGCGAACAGG